GUGCCCGGCCCAGACACAGAAGAAGAACCGAAUCCAACCUAGACGAGGUAACAGUGCAGUAGAUUUACAGUGCAGGCAGGGACAAUGGGCUCGGAGAGCACUGAUCUAUAAAACUGUUCAUGAUGUAGUUUGUCAAUCUGCGAAUUUUAUUUUGAUGGUGAUUAUUAAUAAUGUUAUUGUGGACCGAUUGCCUCACCCAAUAAUGUAAUAACCCCGGAAUGGUGCCCUGUCCACGGUUAUUUCCACUUCAGGACAAGUCCUGCAAGGAUUGGUAGCCUUCCUGUGGAUCCCCAGCCUCACCCAGAUCACAGGAAUGCCUUCUUGUUGCAACAUGGUCACUGCACAUGCAUCAAUUGGAAACAAGAGGGUUCAAGACCUACGCCACCACCACCUAAUCAAAGCACCGUGAUGUUCCUACAUUGAAGGAUUAAAAGCCAGAAGUCUACAUGACAUCAUCAUCAACUCCUUCCAUGAGAACCCUAAAUACAAAGAAGACUGUUCAUUUAUGUUAGGUAGAAUGCCCAGAGGGGGCUGGGCGGUCUCAUGGUCUGGAACCCCUGCAGAUUUUAUUUUUUUCUCCAGCCGUCUGGA